AGGGAGGAUGUAGGCUCUUUUUCAGGGAGCUGCUAUAGGCCCAGCAUACUGGCAUGCAGCACUCUAGGGGAAGAGACUGUGCUGGCAGGAGCUAGGCUACUUGAGGACUCCAGAGACUUGGAGGAACCAUGGAGCAUUACUGAGGGAGAAAGGGGGUAAGAAGCAGCCCAGGGGAUGUAGACUUUUCUCCGUGCUGUAAGAACACCACCUCCCUGAGCGACAGUAACUAUGUCAAUGGACACAUUCCUCCAUCAACAUAGCUGCAUCUACUCUGUGGAUUGGAUUGGCACUUUAGAAGAUGUUUUUCACACACCUGACAAAGAUGAAUCUAAAAAAUUAGAGGAAACACUGGUGCUGCUGCACUCCUAGUUCCAGCACUUAUGCUGAGUCACUGAAAACCCAUCUGAGAAACCACCGACAGAGGUCACCACAAACAGAGUGCAAGCACAUGCACUUGACCAGGGGUGCUUGCAAGAGGUGGAUGCCCCACUGUUACAGGGCCCUCGGCUGCCUGAGAAGAUCAUGAGAAUCAACACACAACAGGAAACCCCAAUAACACUUUCUGGGACUGACACAGAAGAGGUCUGAUAUUUCACAUAUCUUAGCAGCAUUGUAAGUAUACAGUGCAGAAGAUGACAUCAUAGACCUGAAACCCAGAUAUGCCUUUGUAACUGUAAAUCUGAUCUGGAGAAACAGAAAACUUGCCCUCCAAAUUGAACUCUGAAUAUUUAACACAAUUGUUAUAUUAUAUGGCGCAGACACUUUGGCUUAUUUAAAUCUUAAUACCUAAA